rnacentral:lncRNA from 1 species
GCAGGAAGUUUAUUCAGAGUGCUCUGGGGCAACACCUGUGAGGGAAUACAGGCAGUAAAACAGGGCAGAGGGAGAGGCUGAAUUCUGAUGCAGCUGCAAACAAAAGCCUGACUGAUCCAGGAGGAUGCUCUGCAACGGGGCUGGGCCUUCAAAGUGGAUCCAAGCCCGGUGAAAGGUCCAGGCCUUCAUGUCCCAGCAUCAACCUGUCUUUGGAUAUGGGUUGCUACUGCUCCUACCUUGGGCAUCCUAGUUCUCCUCAGCCACAGGCAAUCCCAAAGAGGGUCUCAGCUGAGCACUCUCAGCUGCCAACAUUACCAGCAGCUGAAGAAGGAAGUCCUUCCCUCCUGGAAGCGGGUGGAGGGAGUGCCGUAGAUCUGGGCUGCCUGACAACAUCUUCUGCAUUGCUCAGGGCAUGCUUCCCACUCAACUCUCAGACAGUGAUGAAUAAACUCAAAGGAAAGGAAAAUCAUUUGGCAACCGGAAGGUGUGGGAGGAUAGCUGUAAAGGAAACUGACUGCAAAAAACAGAGCAGAGAAGUUUAAAGAAAAAAAAUAACAGCAUUCCUGGUGAUGCCCCAUUGGGUCAAUGAAACGAACACAUUCUGAAGCCUUUCCUAACCAGGAGCCAACCAAUCUCAUCACUGUGAAGCCAGAAAACCCUAUCUAUUGAAGAUGACUGCUUUUUUCUACUGUAGCUGGCAAUUUUAUGAAAUGAAGAAAAUUUGCUCUAGUUGCAAGUGACACACACCUCUUAAAUGUCUGCCAUCAAUUAAAAGUAAAAUACUGGUUACUUACAACUAUCAAUUAGAUACAAUGCACUCCAGGAGAUCAGGAGCCUUGGCAUUCAGACAUAGGAGAAUUUUUUUGGCUUUGCCAUUUACUUGCAAUGUGACCUUGAUGAGAGAGAAGUUGAUGCUCAGCGAGGUGAAGUAAUUUGCCCAGGGUUAAGAUUCAAAUGCAAGUCUGGGGACCCUGAAGUCUGCUUCUUUUCACUGUGCUGCGUAGUGGCCUUAGCCUUUCCUUUCUAACAGAGAAGCCAAGACAGCAUACCUGUGUCUGGGUGCCCCAAUGGUGUGCACAUCUAUUACCUCAGGAAGAAAGAAUGUCUGAGGAGAUGAAAUUUGCAAACAGUUACAAAGGAC